rnacentral:rRNA from 1 species
UCGGGAAUUUUGGGCAAUGGGGGAAACCCUGACCCAGCAACGCCGCGUGAAGGAUGAAGUAUUUCGGUAUGUAAACUUCGAAAGAAUAGGAAGAAUAAAUGACGGUACUAUUUAUAAGGUCCGGCUAACUACGUGCCAGCAGCCGCGGUAAUACGUAGGGACCAAGCGUUGUUCGGAUUUACUGGGCGUAAAGGGCGCGUAGGCGGCAUGACAAGUCACUUGUGAAAUCUCUGGGCUUAACCCAGAACGGCCAAGUGAUACUGUCGCGCUAGAGUGCAGAAGGGGCAAUCGGAAUUCUUGGUGUAGCGGUGAAAUGCGUAGAUAUCAAGAGGAACACCUGAGGUGAAGACGGGUUGCUGGGCUGACACUGACGCUGAGGCGCGAAAGCCAGGGGAGCAAACGGUAUUAGAUACCCAUGUAGUCCCUGAGCGGGCUGGCAAGGCGCAU